rnacentral:rRNA from 1 species
UGGGGAAUAUUGCACAAUGGGCGAAAGCCUGAUGCAGCGACGCCGCGUGAGGGAUGACGGCCUUCGGGUUGUAAACCUCUUUCAGCAGGGACCAAGCGUGAGUGAGUGUACCUGCAGAAGAAGCACCGGCUAACUACGUGCCAGCAGCCGCGGUAAUACGUAGGGUGCGAGCGUUGUCCGGAUUUAUUGGGCGUAAAGGGCUCGUAGGCGGCCUGUCGCGUCGGAAGUGAAAGCCCACUGCUUAACGGUGGGUCUGCUUCCGGUACGGGCAGGCUGGAGUAUGGCAGGGGAGACUGGAAUUCCUGGUGUAGCGGUGGAAUGCGCAGAUAUCAGGAGGAACACCGGUGGCGAAGGCGGGUCUCUGGGCCAUUACUGACGCUGAGGAGCGAAAGCGUGGGGAGCGAACAGGAUUAGAUACCCCCGUAGUCC